AUUGAACGCUGGCGGCAGGCUUAACACAUGCAAGUCGAGCGGAGACUUCGGUCUUAGCGGCGAACGGGUGAGUAAUACCUAGGAAUCUGCCUAUUAGUGGGGGAUAACGGCUCGAAAGGGUCGCUAAUACCGCAUACGUCCUACGGGAGAAAGUGGGGGAUCUUCGGACCUCACGCUAAUAGAUGAGCCUAGGCCGGAUUAGCUAGUUGGUAGGGUAAAGGCCUACCAAGGCGACGAUCCGUAGCUGGUCUGAGAGGAUGGCCAGCCACACUGGAACUGAGACACGGUCCAGACUCCUACGGGAGGCAGCAGUGGGGAAUAUUGGACAAUGGGGGCAACCCUGAUCCAGCCAUGCCGCGUGCAGGAAGACGGACCUAUGGUUUGUAAACUGCUUUUGAACGGGAGAAAA
rnacentral:rRNA from 1 species